rnacentral:rRNA from 1 species
AUGAACGCUAGCUACAGGCUUAACACAUGCAAGUCGAGGGGCAGCAUGGUCUUAGCUUGCUAAGGCCGAUGGCGACCGGCGCACGGGUGAGUAACACGUAUCCAACCUGCCGUCUACUCUUGGACAGCCUUCUGAAAGGAAGAUUAAUACAAGAUGGCAUCAUGAGUCCGCAUGUUCACAUGAUUAAAGGUAUUCCGGUAGACGAUGGGGAUGCGUUCCAUUAGAUAGUAGGCGGGGUAACGGCCCACCUAGUCUUCGAUGGGUAGGGGUUCUGAGAGGAAGGUCCCCCACAUUGGAACUGAGACACGGUCCAAACUCCUACGGGAGGCAGCAGUGAGGAAUAUUGGUCAAUGGGCGAGAGCCUGAACCAGCCAAGUAGCGUGAAGGAUGACUGCCCUAUGGGUUGUAAACUUCUUUUAUAAAGGAAUAAAGUCGGGUAUGGAUACCCGUUUGCAUGUACUUUAUGAAUAAGGAUCGGCUAACUCCGUGCCAGCAGCCGCGGUAAUACGGAGGAUCCGAGCGUUAUCCGGAUUUAUUGGGUUUAAAGGGAGCGUAGAUGGAUGUUUAAGUCAGUUGUGAAAGUUUGCGGCUCAACCGUAAAAUUGCAGUUGAUACUGGAUAUCUUGAGUGCAGUUGAGGCAGGCGGAAUUCGUGGUGUAGCGGUGAAAUGCUUAGAUAUCACGAAGAACUCCGAUUGCGAAGGCAGCCUGCUAAGCUGCAACUGACAUUGAGGCUCGAAAGUGUGGGUAUCAAACAGGAUUAGAUACCCUGGUAGUCCACACGGUAAACGAUGAAUACUCGCUGUUUGCGAUAUACAGUAAGCGGCCAAGCGAAAGCAUUAAGUAUUCCACCUGGGGAGUACGCCGGCAACGGUGAAACUCAAAGGAAUUGACGGGGGCCCGCACAAGCGGAGGAACAUGUGGUUUAAUUCGAUGAUACGCGAGGAACCUUACCCGGGCUUAAAUUGCAGAUGAAUUACGGUGAAAGCCGUAAGCCGCAAGGCAUCUGUGAAGGUGCUGCAUGGUUGUCGUCAGCUCGUGCCGUGAGGUGUCGGCUUAAGUGCCAUAACGAGCGCAACCCUUGUUGUCAGUUACUAACAGGUUCCGCUGAGGACUCUGACAAGACUGCCAUCGUAAGAUGUGAGGAAGGUGGGGAUGACGUCAAAUCAGCACGGCCCUUACGUCCGGGGCUACACACGUGUUACAAUGGGGGGUACAGAGGGCCGCUACCACGCGAGUGGAUGCCAAUCCCCAAAACCUCUCUCAGUUCGGACUGGAGUCUGCAACCCGACUCCACGAAGCUGGAUUCGCUAGUAAUCGCGCAUCAGCCACGGCGCGGUGAAUACGUUCCCGGGCCUUGUACACACCGCCCGUCAAGCCAUGGGAGCCGGGGGUACCUGAAGUGCGUAACCGCGAGGAGCGCCCUAGGGUAAAACUGGUGACUGGGGCU